UACGAAGGGGGCUAGCGUUGCUCGGAAUGACUGGGCGUAAAGGGCGCGUAGGCGGACGGCUUUGUCGGGCGUGAAAUUCCAGGGCUUAACCUUGGGGCUGCGUUCGAGACGGGUUGUCUAGAGUUUGGAAGAGGGUCGUGGAAUUCCCAGUGUAGAGGUGAAAUUCGUAGAUAUUGGGAAGAACACCGGUGGCGAAGGCGGCUCACUGGCUCGUAACUGACGCUCAGGCGCGACAGCGUGGGGAUCAAACAGG
rnacentral:rRNA from 1 species